rnacentral:rRNA from 1 species
GAUGAACGCUGGCGGCGUGCCUAAUACAUGCAAGUCGAGCGAACAGACGAGGAGCUUGCUCCUCUGAUGUUAGCGGCGGACGGGUGAGUAACACGUGGAUAACCUACCUAUAAGACUGGGAUAACUUCGGGAAACCGGAGCUAAUACUGGAUAAUAUAUUGAACCGCAUGGUUCAAUAGUGAAAGACGGUUUUGCUGUCACUUAUAGAUGGAUCCGCGCCGCAUUAGCUAGUUGGUAAGGUAACGGCUUACCAAGGCAACGAUGCGUAGCCGACCUGAGAGGGUGAUCGGCCACACUGGAACUGAGACACGGUCCAGACUCCUACGGGAGGCAGCAGUAGGGAAUCUUCCGCAAUGGGCGAAAGCCUGACGGAGCAACGCCGCGUGAGUGAUGAAGGUCUUCGGAUCGUAAAACUCUGUUAUUAGGGAAGAACAAAUGUGUAAGUAACUAUGCACGUCUUGACGGUACCUAAUCAGAAAGCCACGGCUAACUACGUG